CGUCGCGGGGGUCGGGGCCGUCGGCUUCAGUUUCUCUCGUGUCGGACUGUGUACUCUGUGAAGGAGCGCGAGGAAGGGAGAGGGAGUAGGCUGUCCGGAGGAGGUCGAUUCGGGGCAAUUCCGGGGCUCUCGGCUCAGCGACUGCGUCCGGACCCGCUCCGUCGGCUCGGUGUCUGACGCUCGCCUCCUCUGCGGCUCCUCGGGGGCGGAACUGGCGCCGCCCUCACCGGACGCCAUGACCAACCCGCGGCCUGUCACGUAGGCCCGGAGAAGUGGCAGUACGCAUGCGCGGGCCUCCAAGCGUGGGAUCAGCGGCUGCAAGUACAGGUUCUGGCGUUAGGAGGAACAAUUAUUGUUCCUCCAAGAAAUUGAUUCCUGCUAAUCAGGACUUAUGUGACGGGCUGUAAUGGAGACGUGAAACUGAGAGGGCUUUUCUCACGCUUGAUGGCAGGCUGGCGAAUGAAUCCAGAUUGACACCACAGAGUUUGGCGACCAGAGGGGACUAGCGCCCUCUGACGGAGUCAUUUGGAUAUGACGCUCCCAGGGGCUUUGACCUUCUAUUAGGCCCUGGAGAAAGGGAAUAAUGACAGUCUCUCGUCCUUCAAGGCCUUGUAGCUGGGUGUGGUGGCGCACACCUGAUUCCUGCAGUUGGGAAGCCUGAGGCAGGAGGAUCUCAAGUUCAAGCCCAGCCUGGACAAUUUAGCAAUUUAAUGAGACCUUAUCUCAAAAUAAAAAAAAAUGGCACAGGUCCCUGUGCAACUCUUGAGUGUA